GUGUUGUCUCAUUCCCUUGCCCCGCCCCCCUUGUUAUCCUAGUCUUGUUGUGAUUGCCGUAUCUGUGCCACCUGUCGUGUCUUAAUUGUUCCCCUAUUUAGAUCUCCUAGUGUGCUCUGUCUUUCGUCGGUUCAUUGUUCUACUUAUGUGUUCCUACAUGUCAUUCUCCUGAGAUACCUUGUCCUAGAAACCCCUCGAAGAAGUCUUUGUCUUGCAGUGAGUGUUUGUUAGUAUUUAGUGUUCAGAGUCUUUGUUUACCUUGUUUAUUGUGUUUUGUAGAAUUCUUUUAUGUUCACCCUAGCCCUUGUUUUCCCCCUCGUGGGUUUUGUUUUUCCCCUUUUUGUAUAAUAAAUCUUGUGUUCAGUA